rnacentral:rRNA from 1 species
UGGGGAAUAUUGGACAAUGGGCGCAAGCCUGAUCCAGCCAUGCCGCGUGAGUGAUGAAGGCCCUAGGGGUGUAAAGCUCCUUUUCCGGUGAAGAUAAUGACGGUAACUGGAGAAGAAGCCCCGGCUAACUUCGUGCCAGCAGCCGCGGUAAUACGAAGGGGGCUAGCGUUGUUCGGAUUUACUGGGCGUAAAGCGCACGUAGGCGGACUAUUAAGUCAGGGGUGAAAUCCCGGGGCUCAACCCCGGAACUGCCUUUGAUACUGGUAGUCUUGAGUUCGGGAGAGGUGAGUGGAAUUCCGAGUGUAGAGGUGAAAUGCGUAGAUAUUCGGAGGAACACCAGUGGCGAAGGCGGCUCACUAGCUCGAUACUGACGCUGAGGUGCGAAAGCGUGGGGAGCAAACAGG